rnacentral:rRNA from 1 species
AAAUUGAAGAGUUUGAUCAUGGCUCAGAUUGAACGCUGGCGGCAGGCCUAACACAUGCAAGUCGAACGGUAACAGGAAGCAGCUUGCUGCUUUGCUGACGAGUGGCGGACGGGUGAGUAAUGUCUGGGAAACUGCCUGAUGGAGGGGGAUAACUACUGGAAACGGUAGCUAAUACCGCAUAACGUCGCAAGACCAAAGAGGGGGACCUUCGGGCCUCUUGCCAUCGGAUGUGCCCAGAUGGGAUUAGCUAGUAGG